rnacentral:rRNA from 1 species
GACGAACGCUGGCGGCGUGCUUAACACAUGCAAGUCGAACGGUAAGGCCCUUCGGGGUACACGAGUGGCGAACGGGUGAGUAACACGUGGGUGAUCUGCCCUGCACUUCGGGAUAAGCCUGGGAAACUGGGUCUAAUACCGGAUAGGACCACUGCCUGCAUGGGUGGUGGUGGAAAGCCUUUGCGGUGUGGGAUGGGCCCGCGGCCUAUCAGCUUGUGGGUGGGGUGAUGGCCUACCAAGGCGACGACGGGUAGCCGGCCUGAGAGGGUGACCGGCCACACUGGGACUGAGAUACGGCCCAGACUCCUACGGGAGGCAGCAGUGGGGAAUAUUGCACAAUGGGCGCAAGCCUGAUGCAGCGACGCCGCGUGAGGGAUGACGGCCUUCGGGUUGUAAACCUCUUUCAGCACCGACGAAGCGCAAGUGACGGUAGGUGCAGAAGAAGGACCGGCCAACUACGUGCCAGCCGCCGCAGUAA